rnacentral:rRNA from 1 species
UACGUAGGGGGCUAGCGUUGUCCGGAAUCAUUGGGCGUAAAGAGCGCGUAGGCGGCUGGAAUAGUCCGGUGUGAAAUCGCUCGGCUCAACUGGGCGGGGUCAGCGGAUACGGCGUAGCUGGAGCAAGCUAGGGGGCAAUGGAAUUCCCGGUGUAGUGGUGGAAUGCGUAGAUAUCGGGAGGAACACCAGUGGCGAAGGCGGUUGCCUGGAGCUUUGCUGACGCUGAGGCGCGAAAGCGUGGGGAGCGAUCCGG